GGUUGACCUCGGAUCAGGUAGGGAUACCCGCUGAACUUAAGCAUAUNCAUAAGCGGAGGAAAAGAAACCAACAGGGAUUGCCCCAGUAACGGCGAGUGAAGCGGCAAGAGCUCAAAUUUGAAAGCUGGCUCCUUCGGGGU
rnacentral:rRNA from 1 species